UACGUAGGGUGCGAGCGUUGUCCGGAAUCAUUGGGCGUAAAGAGCGCGUAGGCGGCCCUGUAAGUCAGACGUGAAAUCCCUCGGCUUAACCGGGGAACUGCGUCUGAUACUGGAUGGCUUGAGUUUGGGAGAGGGAUGCGGAAUUCCAGGUGUAGCGGUGAAAUGCGUAGAUAUCUGGAGGAACACCGGUGGCGAAGGCGGCAUCCUGGACCAACACUGACGCUGAGUGAGCGAAAGCCAGGGGAGCAAACGGG
rnacentral:rRNA from 1 species